CGUUAGCGGCGGACGGGUGAGUAACACGUGGGUGACCUACCUAUAAGACUGGGAUAACUCCGGGAAACCGGGGCUAAUACCGGAUAACACAUGAAACCGCAUUGUUUCAUGAUGAAAGACGGUUUUGCUGUCACUUAUAGAUGGACCCGCGGCGUAUUAGCUAGUUGGUAAGGUAACGGCUUACCAAGGCAACGAUACGUAGCCGACCUGAGAGGGUGAUCGGCCACACUGGAACUGAGACACGGUCCAGACUCCUACGGGAGGCAGCAGGA
rnacentral:rRNA from 1 species